CUGAAAGCCGCAGUUUGGCACCAUCUUUUCCAUCUCCUCCUCCUUCCGCCUUCCCGCCAUCCGGCCUCCACACGAUUCAGCCCGGUGGUGUUAGCUCCCUGGACUCGAUUCCUGAGGCAAACAGUGCCCCUUAAGGUCGGCAACAGCCUCUUCUGGGUUCACUGCAGUCCAACCGGCUGCCUACCCGCCGCCAUUAUGAACAUCCGCAACGCUCGGCCAGGCGACCUGAUGAAUAUGCAACACUGCAACCUCCUUUGCCUUCCUGAGAACUACCAGAUGAAAUACUAUUUAUAUCAUGGCCUUUCCUGGCCCCAGCUUUCUUACAUCGCUGAGGAUGAGGACGGGAAGAUUGUGGGCUAUGUCCUGGCCAAAAUGGAGGAGGACCCAGAUGAUGUCCCGCAUGGCCAUAUCACCUCACUGGCCGUGAAGCGUUCACACCGGCGCCUCGGCCUGGCCCAGAAGCUGAUGGACCAGGCCUCCAGGGCCAUGAUAGAGAACUUUAACACCAAAUAUGUGUCUCUGCACGUCAGGAAGAGUAACCGGGCAGCCUUGCACCUCUAUUCUAACACCCUCAACUUUCAGAUUAGUGAGGUGGAACCUAAAUACUAUGCAGAUGGGGAAGAUGCUUAUGCUAUGAAGCGGGAUCUCUCGCAGAUGGCAGAUGAGCUGAGACGACAAGUGGACCUGAAGAAGGGCGGGUAUGUGGUCCUGGGCUCCAGGGAGAACCAGGAGACCCAGGGCAGCACACUUUCUGGUUCUGAAGAGGCCUGUCAGCAAAGGAACCCGGCUACCGAAGAAAGUGGUAGUGACAGCAAAGAACCUAAGGAGUCUGUGGAGAGCACCAACGUCCAGGACAGCUCAGAAAGCUCGGAUUCCACCUCCUAGAGCACGCUUAAGAAUACCACAGACUGAGUGAUUUACAGUUAUGGAGGCCAGGAAGUUCAAUAUCAAGGUGGUGGCAUCUGGCAAGGGCCUUCUUGCUGCAUCAUCCCAUGAAGGUGAGAAGAUGAAAAGCCAAUGAAGAUCUGAGACAGCACAACCUAAGGAAUGGGGGAACAACAGGAUGGAGAACCUGGGUCCAUGAAUGAUCUCAUGGAGCAGAGCUGCUUACCCAUCUUGAAAUAUGUGGCAUUCACUUAGUAUUCAAGAAUUUAGUGGCAAAACACACACACUCACACACACACACUCUUACACAUGCACAUUUUGAAAUUUGGAAAGCUGCUAACCCUGGUUAUGCUAUGGUAAAAUAUUCUAUAAAACUGACAUGAGCUAACUUGGGAAGGAUAUAACUUUUCCACAGAAUCUACAGUAUGGGGGCAAACCAUUGGAAAGGGCCAGAAUGUGUGUGUUGACAGUUCCUUGAUAUUUUUAUAAGAUGCUAUAAGACAUAGACAGAUUGACAAUUGACCAGUUUGCCGGCAGCUUUUUAACGGGAGGUCCCCCUAUGCCUGCAGCCUAUAAUCUGUAUUAACUAGAAGCAAUUAACUUAUUCCCCUGCAGAUUUGGAAAAGCCAACUUCUUCUACUCACCAAAGAGCAGAAAGUAAGACUCCAGACUUAAAGGAAAAGAAGACUUCCCUUUUAACCCACUAAGUCCUCUAGGCCAGAAAAUGUGACCUGGCUCAGUGGCAGACAUAAGAUUAAAUGUGUUGCUUCUUCUCUCAAACCCAUAAUUUUAAGUGGUGUCAAAUUACCACUGCUGUAAUUUUACCCACAAACUUGAUACCAACUCUGAUUAUGCCAUGCUCUCUCCACUGCCUGAUCCUUGUUCAAGUUACCAUCAUCUCUUGCCAAGAAUAUUAAAAGAGCUUUAAAACUGAAUGUCCUGCAUCCACACUUGCCAUUCAGUGCUUGGCACCUCAGCCACCAUGACAUUUUACAUAAGGUAAAAUGUAAUCCAUCUGUUUAAAAAAAUCACAGCUCUUAAAGUAAGUGUAUUUCGCUAAAAUUUUAAACAGUAUAUGAAGUCCUGCAAGGUCCAGCCCCCAACCGCCACCCCUCUAGCAUACUUUUUAAUAAACUUAUUUUUUAACGGUUUCCUAUUUACAGGAAAAUUGCAAAAACAGUACAUAGCUUCCAUCUACCCCACAUCGAGUUUCCCCUAUUUUUAAUAUCUUACAUUAGUAUGGUACAUUUGUUACAAUUAAUAAAUUAAUAUUGAUAUAAUAUUAGCUAAAGUUUAUAUUCCAAUUUCCUUAUUUUUUUCCUAGUGUCCUCUCACUAUUCCAGGGUCCCAUUCAGCAAACCACCAUAUAUUUGGUCGUCCUAUCUCUUAAGCUUCUCUUGACUAUGACAAGUGCUCAGAAGUUCCUUGUUUUUCAUGAUCUUGACAAUUUUGAGAAGUACUGGUGGGAUCUUUUGUAAACCAUCUUUCAGUUUGAAUUUGUCUGAUAUUUUUUGCAUGAUUAGUCUGGGGCUGUGGAUUUUUAGAAAGACUACAGUGGGAAAAUGCCAUUUUCAUCAUAUACUAGCAACAUGAUUGAUCACUGUUGACGUUGACCUCGUUCAUCUGAUCCCAGUAUUAUUCUGUCCCAUUCCUCAUCUCUCAAAAUUCUAUCAUAUACAUUGCUCAGACUCACCACAAUCCCUUCAUAACAUAUUGCUCCCUCUCCCUGGAGUACUCACUUCUCCAGCCUCCACUUCCACAUUAUUAGCACCAAAUCACCCCUCUGAUCUCUGUUCCUGUCUCUUUCUCAGCAAAUACUUCUCAGAAGGCCCCAGUCCAAGUCAGGUUUAUAUUGUUUUUCUGGUUGGUUGCUUUUUUUGUCUUACAUUUUUGUAGAAUCAUAGAAUCAUGUUUAGUGUACUUAUUUGUUUGCCCUGGUUCAAUCAUCAUGUAAUUACUUAACUCUGUUGCUGCCACUAAACUCUGAACACCAUGUGAGCAAGAACUGUAGGAGAUGUUAUUGAAGCAGCAACAUGAACAGAAACAGCGCUUAUGUUGUUUAUACUGAAGAUUUUUGAGAUUGGUAGUGGACUGAAUUUUGUGACUUGCCUCUUGACCCCAGUGACACUAGCAAUAGCUAGAGUCUAUAGCAGCAGCUGCCCUUGGACUUCUGUCACCUGGAGCCACAUCCUUUCAGAUUCUUGCCUGCUGAACAUGCUUUACCUCUCAUUUCACACAUAUACCUGGUGACUCUUGACUACUGCCCUGUGGUUCUUAGACUUCCAGAUACAGAACCCUGCCAUUCACAAGUGUAUGUGCAACUUCAAAGUGCAGAAGAAUUGGCACCCUAUGAAGAGUUGUUUGCUUAUUUUUACAUAAGAAAAUACUGAAAGGAUGAAACAGAAACUAACUAAAACUGUUAUCUACAGUGGCUGAAGUUGAGAGAAAUAUAGUGAGAGAUAUAAAAAUAAAGUGAGAAUUUCUAUGCAUACUGUCAUAUAUAUGUAGACUUUUGAACCAUGUAAAUCUUUUUACACAAAACAUAUAUUUAGAUAAAGGAGCAAACCCCAAAACUGAAAGCAAAUAAAUCUAACUGUUCAUGUACUCAAAUCAGUAACAUAACCAUGCAAAAAAAAAUUAUUUCAAGUGACUUUUGAGCACAAUACUCUGGCUAUACCUCCCAGGUGGGAUGUAGUCUAAAGAGAAAAAUAGCAACAGGCAGAGAAAUCUUAAACUUGAUUUAGAUACAAUAUUGGUGUUGUAAUUUAGAAACUAUUUUAUGCGUAUUAUAGAAAAAUGCAAUUAAACAAAUUAAUACUAUUAGGUACCAAGACUUUCAGACAUUCAGCAUAAAGAUUAUAUAUAAUCAUAUA